AUGUGCCUACGGGGCGCAGCAGUGGGGAAUAUUGGACAAUGGGGGGAACCCUGAUCCAGCGACGCCGCGUGAGUGAAGAAGAAUUUCGGUAUGUAAAGCUCUAUCAGCAGGGAAGAAAGAAAUGACGGUACCUGACUAAGAAGCCCCGGCUAACUACGUGCCAGCAGCCGCGGUAAUACGUAGGGGGCAAGCGUUAUCCGGAUUUACUGGGUGUAAGGGGGGCGUAGACGGCG
rnacentral:rRNA from 1 species